rnacentral:rRNA from 2 species
UGCAAGUCGAGCGGACAGAUGGGAGCUUGCUCCCUGAUGUUAGCGGCGGACGGGUGAGUAACACGUGGGUAACCUGCCUGUAAGACUGGGAUAACUCCGGGAAACCGGGGCUAAUACCGGAUGGUUGUUUGAACCGCAUGGUUCAAACAUAAAAGGUGGCUUCGGCUACCACUUACAGAUGGACCCGCGGCGCAUUAGCUAGUUGGUGAGGUAACGGCUCACCAAGGCAACGAUGCGUAGCCGACCUGAGAGGGUGAUCGGCCACACUGGGACUGAGACACGGCCCAGACUCCUACGGGAGGCAGCAGUAGGGAAUCUUCCGCAAUGGACGAAAGUCUGACGGAGCAACGCCGCGUGAGUGAUGAAGGUUUUCGGAUCGUAAAGCUCUGUUGUUAGGGAAGAACAAGUACCGUUCGAAUAGGGCGGUACCUUGACGGUACCUAACCAGAAAGCCACGGCUAACUACGUGCCAGCAGCCGCGGUAAUACGUAGGUGGCAAGCGUUGUCCGGAAUUAUUGGGCGUAAAGGGCUCGCAGGCGGUUUCUUAAGUCUGAUGUGAAAGCCCCCGGCUCAACCGGGGAGGGUCAUUGGAAACUGGGGAACUUGAGUGCAGAAGAGGAGAGUGGAAUUCCACGUGUAGCGGUGAAAUGCGUAGAGAUGUGGAGGAACACCAGUGGCGAAGGCGACUCUCUGGUCUGUAACUGACGCUGAGGAGCGAAAGCGUGGGGAGCGAACAGGAUUAGAUACCCUGGUAGUCCACGCCGUAAACGAUGAGUGCUAAGUGUUAGGGGGUUUCCGCCCCUUAGUGCUGCAGCUAACGCAUUAAGCACU